UCUUGGGACAGAUUUAAAAAUUAGCAGAGGGAAAAGCAAUCUUCUCCAAGGGGCCUCUUAGGACAGCUAAAGGGAAAGGCUCUACUUUUGAUGGCAGCUUUCAGGCAGGCAGCGCAGAACAGCUCCAUGGUGUGUUGUCCAGUGUACUGUGUUACCUAGUGUGUCUUUGGGUUCCCUUUUGCCUUUUCCCCUCGAGACCCUCACCACAAGCAUAUUGUGUCGUGUUUAACAUCCCCCUGUUUGUCACAUUCUGUGUCACGGGUGUCUGCACAUGUUUGCACCGGAGUUGUUCUGCCCUGCCGCAUAGCCUGCUGCAAUAGGACAAGUCCCGGGGACUCGCAGUUUGUGGGGUGUCACCGGACUCUAGAUGAUAUUCCUAGAUAGGCAGAAGAUGUUUGGAGCUGUGAAGUUGUCCUGCAGCCCUUUGACUUUUGUCCUCACUUUCUUUCAGAUGCAGAGGAUAAAAUCCAGGGCAAAAUCCAUCCACCCAUCCUGGGUGAGGAGGUCCCCCCGAGCAGGAAGUAAAUCUGGAUACCAGCAGUCAAGGCAAUCCACUCGGAGUAUGCCAAGCCCCCGUCACCAACCGGCCGACGCGCCGAGUUUCCUGCUCUCGUGAGCCCCGUGGAUGUAUUACAGGACCUGAUGGUGAAGCCCUGAACUUUUCUAUUCAAAGGUGCCAUCCAGGUGUCCUUUGGCAACUGCCAAGGAGUCGGGGUGAGUCGGGGAAGUAGGGAGGAGGAGCGAGGGUCCACUCAGGUUUCAGCCAUGAGAAAUCACCUCAUCUCCUCUUUACCCAGGCACCCCCUGUGACGAAGGCCUCGGUCUCGAAGCGUGCGAGCCCGAGCAGCUGGGCAUUCCUAGGAGCAUGCUGUGUAAGAGACCAGAGCCCGGUGACAGCAGGACCUUCCCGGCUGACGAGGUGGCCUUUCUUUGCACCUGAGACCGGCAUCCCCAGAUGUCUGAGAGAUAAGUAGAGGGCUACGGCCCACAGAGGGGAUUAAAGCAGGGUGCUGGUUUGGGAAUUACCGGGAGGGGUUUUUGAGUCCGCUUUGGAGGUGGGGGUUGUUCAUGAGGUGGCCCCUUUAGGCCCCAUAAAAGCAAAGUCUCACUUGUGAUCACAGUGCUGAGGUGCGCAGGGCAGAGCAGUCCCGGUGUGUCUGGUGUCACUUGUCUAUUGUGCCUUAUGUGUUGUUUGUGUAUCUCAUGUCUUUUACCUCAGCCCUUUGAGGGGCCUGUCAGGAACCUUGGCAUCAUUCUUAGCAUCUGCGAUCUCUGCAUUCCUUGGCCUGGCACCCAGGCCCUAGAACUUUUGACUCGGGAGCUCAGACAGGCAUCAGACUCUCUUCUCUCUUUGGAAGCAUCCGGUCAGAUGUCUUUUCAGGUCUUGUUCUGAGCUGUACGGACAGCUAUGCCCUGCCAGGAUCCAUUGUGGCGGGCUAGGACUUGAAAGAAUGUGAGGACAGGUAGAGGCUUCUGACUGUAGGAUUCUCGGGCAUCCAUCUUUGCAUUCAUCUUGGAAUAAAUGAUUCAGUUAGCAUCUUCUUCCUCCAGGGUUCUCUGAGCCUCAUCAGCUCACCAUCGGUCUCAGCUCAGUCAUCUCAUUUUGCAUUCUCUCAGUCCCUGCAGCCAUUUUCCUUGCCAAGUGUUUUUCUCUCCGUGUCUCGUGUCCUUUGUUUGUCACGUCCUGUCUGUCCUGGGUCACGGGUGUUUGCACAUAUCUGUGCCGGAGCUGCUCUGCCCUGCCGCACAGCCUGGUGCAAUAGGAGAAGUCCCGGGGACUUGAAGUUUGUAAUGUGGGGUGUAGUUGGACUCUAGAUGGGGUUUGUAGAUGGACACAGUAUAUCUGGAGCUCUUAAGUUAUCCUGCAGCCCUUUGACUUUCAUCCUAACUUUCUUUCAGAUGCCGAAGGAUAAAAUCCAGGGCAGUGCACCCCAUCCUGGAUGAGGGGAUUCCCCUGAGCAGGUCAGUCACUGUUUGUCUCUGCAGAGGAAGCAUAAAUGGUAGCUUUUACAGCACUGUUCUUUGUCUUUCUUUUUAGGAAGUGAAGGCAGAGAGCAGCUGUCAAGGCCGA